rnacentral:rRNA from 1 species
AGUAACGCGUGAGUAACCUGCCUUCAAGAGGGGGAUAACAUUCUGAAAAGAAUGCUAAUACCGCAUGACAUAUCGGAAUCACAUGGUUCUGAUAUCAAAGAUUUUAUCGCUUGAAGAUGGACUCGCGUCCGAUUAGUUAGUUGGUGAGGUAACGGCUCACCAAGACCGCGAUCGGUAGCCGGACUGAGAGGUUGAACGGCCACAUUGGGACUGAGACACGGCCCAGACUCCUACGGGAGGCAGCAUG